CAGCACCUCAAGUGGUCAGGAUGAUUAUUGGGCCUAAAGCAUCCGUAGCCGGCGCCGUAAGUUUUCGGCUAAAUCUGUACGCUCAACGUACAGGCUGCCGGGAAUACUGCAGCGCUAGGGAGUGGGAGAGGUAGACGGUACUCGGUAGGAAGGGGUAAAAUCCUUUGAUCUAUUGAUGACCACCUGUGGCGAAGGCGGUCUACCAGAACACGUCCGACGGUGAGGGAUGAAAGCUGGGGGAGCAAACCGGAUUAGAUACCCGAGUAGUCC
rnacentral:rRNA from 1 species